rnacentral:rRNA from 1 species
UACAGAGGUCUCAAGCGUUGUUCGGAUUCAUUGGGCGUAAAGGGUGCGUAGGUGGCGCUGUAAGUCGGGUGUGAAAUUUCGGAGCUUAACUCCGAAACUGCAUUCGAUACUGCGGUGCUUGAGGACUGGAGAGGAGACUGGAAUUCAUGGUGUAGCAGUGAAAUGCGUAGAGAUCAUGAGGAAGACCAGUGGCGAAGGCGGGGUCUCUGGACAGUUCCUGACACUGAGGCACGAAGGCCAGGGG